rnacentral:rRNA from 1 species
GAUUGCCCUAGUAACGGCGAGUGAAGCGGCAACAGCUCAAAUUUGAAAUCUGGCGCAAGCCCGAGUUGUAAUUUGUAGAGGAUGCUUCUGGGUAGCGACCGAUCUAAGUUCCUUGGAACAGGACGUCAUAGAGGGUGAGAAUCCCGUAUGUGACCGGCCCGCACCCUUUACGUAGCUCCUUCGACGAGUCGAGUUGUUUGGGAAUGCAGCUCUAAAUGGGAGGUAAAUUUCUUCUAAAGCUAAAUACCGGCCAGAGACCGAUAGCGCACAAGUAGAGUGAUCGAAAGAUGAAAAGUACUUUGGAAAGAGAGUUAAAAAGCACGUGAAAUUGUUGAAAGGGAAGCGCCUGCAACCAGACUUCGCGGCAGUGUUCCGCCGGUCUUCUGACCGGUUCAUUCUCUGUCGCGAGGCCAUCAUCGUCUGGGCCCGCCGGAUAAGACCUUAGGAAUGUAGCUCACCUUCGGGGGAGUGUUAUAGCCUAGGGUGAUGCGGCGAGGCUCGGGCGAGGUCCGCGCUUCGGCAAGGAUGAUGGCGUAAUGGUUGUCGGCGGCCCGUCUUGAAACACGGACCAAGGAGUCUAACAUCUAUGCGAGUGUUCGGGUGUCAAACCCCUACGCGUAAUGAAAGUGAACGGAGGUGGGAACCGCAAGGUGCACCAUCGACCGAUCCUGAUGUCCUCGGAUGGAUUUGAGUAAGAGCAUAGCUGUUGGGACCCGAAAGAUGGUGAACUAUGCCUGAAUAGGGUGAAGCCAGAGGAAACUCUGGUGGAGGCUCGCAGCGGUUCUGACGUGCAAAUCGAUCGUCAAAUUUGGGUAUAG